UUCCACCUCUUCCCAUUCCGAACAGAGAAGUUAAGCCCGAACGCGCCGAUGGUACUGCGUAUAGUGGGAGAGUAGGUUGCCGCCACUU
rnacentral:rRNA from 1 species